rnacentral:lncRNA from 10 species
AGAUAACACAGGAAUGCAAUAUGUCUAAAUUUUUUUGCUGAAAAGGGGAGCAGAGAUACAGGUUUAUAUGUGUUAUAAUGCUUUGGGCUGCUAUUAACAAAAAGACCAACUAAAAGAAGCUUAAAUAUUAAGAAAACUUUAAAAAGCUUAAGUACUAAGGUUAACAUUACUAUGAAAACAGUAAUCUCAGAAGGAAAGUGUCUGUAAAUUGAUAAAUCAGUGGCUCAACUAUUAGAAAUUAGUUCUUACACUCUGUGCCCAGUUAAUAACAGCAUGUAAACUAUUUUUUCUGUCUGCAGAAGGGAUGUGGCAGCUUAAGAGUAUACUGCAGCCUCAUAGAACCAGAUGUCUCCUGAUUCUCUUUCAGAGAAGGAGGAUGCAAGCAAACAAGAGGCCCAAGAGAAGAAGACAGUAAUCCAGAAGAAUCCACACAACUCUCCAGAUAGUUUCCACAUCACAUACAUGUCAGUUGCUGAAAAUGCAAGACGCAGUCCCUAGAUGAGGAUUACAAAGAUCUAACGGGAAGAACUGCUGUACAGGAAACAUGGCACCAGUAUCUGCUUGGCUUCCGGCGAGGACACAGGAAGCGUAAAAUCAGAGCUGAAGGUAAAGGGAGAGCCCAACCUCACAAGGCAUGAGUGAGCGCAAGAGAGAGAGUGAGCAGGAGGUGCUACACGGUUUCAAAUGACCAGAACUCACUAUCGCAAGGACAGCGCCAAGCCACGAAGGACCCACUCCCAUGACCCAAACACCUCCCACCAGGCGCCACCUCCAACAUCAGGGAUUACACUUCAACCUGUGAUUCAGGGGACAAAUAUCCAAACAAUAGCAAUUGGCAACUUCAUAUUUAGAAAUUACUGGCAUUAUUAUCAUCUAAAUCUGUUUCACUUCUUGGAAAACCAGAUGUAUUUUACAUAGGGAGAAAAAGUAAUAUGGGAAGUAGAAAUCUCAAUAAAGAAUGGACUUCAGUUAACGUGAAUGUAUCAAUAUUUGUUAACUUUAACAUAUUUGCUAUACUAAUGGGAAUGGUACUGAUAGGAUAAACUGGAUAUGAGGUAUGUGGGAAAUCUCUGUGCUGUCUUCUCACUUUUCUGUAAAUCUAAAACAGUCUAUUAAAAAAUACCAUUGGUGGUGGCUGUACCCCCAACUCAAUCAAUAAAGUCAUUUAAAAAUAUGUAAUAUACAUUGGGAUUUAGCCAUUGUGGUCUUUCUCCAUUAUAAGCCCUCUUACACCAUGCAGAGACAUACUGUACUUGAUCUAUUCUGAAGUGGUUGUUAUCCAGGAUAUGGAGAGAACUUAAAUAAAUUUGUAGGUGGGGAUAUGCCUUCCAAGAAUUUUUGGCCUGGAGGCAAGAGGGGAAAAAUUAAAAGUCUCAUCCCCCUAAAAAAAAAUUGCUAUGCACUUCUUAGUGUCAUUUUGUGAAUUAAAUACAGCUUGUCUGAUUUAAAAAAAAAAUUAACAAUUGAUGUUGAUAUCUAGACUCAUGAAAAAUAUAACAUCGAAAAAUUACUGUAACUAUAAACCUGACAAUUUUGUUUACCUUAAAGAAUGCUAUGGCUGAUAGAAACAAAAAGUGUAACUAGCUAAGUAGAUAUACAAAAUAUUUUAUUUUACCUAUACUUCUGAAUGUCAACUAACAGGUAUUGCUAUAGAUGUUUUUACAAAUGUUUGCCUAAAGAUAUUUUUGUACAUUUUAUAGUUCUCUUUUAUUUGUAACCAAGUAUCUUGUGCUUGUCAGCUCUAUGAUUUGAUUUUUAAAAAUAUAUUAAAUUAUGAAUCCAUAAAUAUGUAGAACAGAAAAAUAUAUUAACUCACUUGAUAUGUGUAGGAAGACAACAUUACUCUUAGUAAGACAAGUGCUUUUUGAUAAAAAAUAGGCAAGUAUUGUGUAAGUGGGAAAGCUUUAAACAAAUAAAUUUAUAGGAAAUUAGAGUUUCCCAAAAGUUGGCAUCAAAGAAUAGAGUUUCAGGGCACUGAACCAGAGGGAAUUUAGAGAACUGAGUUUUGGGUAGAGAGAGAAUCCAGCAAGGUUAUGGCAGGAAAUAAGCACCAUAUCCCCCAUGAGAAACCCCCUGUGUCAAGGAGCACCAGACAGAAUUCUAAGAUAGGACUUCCAAUUUUGAGUCAUGCCCUUUGCUACUCUGUGCAGAACUACG